rnacentral:lncRNA from 1 species
CUCCACUCGGUGCCCCUCUGCGAAGCGGAGCCAGAGGUCGAACUUGGGGCGGUGGGCCUUCUCGUACUUGAAGCCGGUGACGUGGAACCUCUUCACCGUGGGGGAGAUGCACUGUAUCAGGACGCUGUCGAUGAGGGACGAGAAGUCCAGGGUACUGCGAAGCCGGGCUAAAAUCUCUCCAUUGAAGACCAGGUCGGUGGCGGUGGUCCAAGUGGGCCGCCAGCGCUUGGAGAGGACGCUGGUCUUGACGACGUCUUGGAGGGGCAGAAACGAGAAGAUGCGGUGGAUCACAGCGUCCGGCAAGGCGCUGAUGAGAUCCCUAGGGCUCAAAGGAGUAGGCGGUGGUGGGUUUGGUUCGUCGGCUCGAUUCGGCCGGUCACUGGAGGAUUUGCGGUGGACGGAGGUCUCCGCCAUGGGAUACAAAUCCCGUGAUUUCUGCCAAUUUUCCCCGAGUUUCGAAGGCUCUAUCGCAGCGUUUUUUCACUACUAUUAUGGCCCUCGUAAGUCCCGCUUUGCUUUUCCACGGAAUGUUGCCCCCUUUUUUGUCUGGGUCCGUAGCGUCCCGUUCCUUUUCUCUCUCUUCUCCCUUUUCUCCUGGAUCCUAUUUUCCUUUCCUCUCCUUUACUUUUGAUACUGUCGAGAUUGUCUUCCUUCCCAUAGAAGCUCUGACCAUUGCCGUCACUGAAGGGCCUUUGCUACACAGGCGUCGCCAGGAAAGUGUCUCGCCUCCGCUCAUUACCACCACCGCUGUCUUCUCUCCUUAGACCUUCAGUCUUGUUGUGCCCUUCUCCAUCGCUCGUCUUCGCUUCGCUUCUGUUUCCUUCGUCUCCUCGGGUGUUGCUCGAAUUGCCGGAGAGUUUCUGGCUAGAGCAAAGCCUAUGAACCCCAGCAUCACCGUCAGGCCUUCAAACAGGUACGGCACGGGAGAGUGCCCCGGCGACCGGCAUAAGGCCAUUGGCAGGCCAGUGCUAAAGCGAUAAAUGGAAAUAGGGAGCACAGAGGGACAUACCUACAAGAGAGAACGAUAAAGAAGAAGAAAGAAAAUGGGACCAAAGAGAAAAGAGUGAGAAGAAACAUACGGAAUGCCAUAGACCUGACGAAAAAAAAGGAACUUAAAAAAAGAAAAGGCGGGACUCAGAUUAAUAUUGUCAACAGUGGAAAAAGUGCCGCCCUUAACUUUUUACUUUUCUAUUUACACAAUAAUCAUAACUGAUGGACUGAGAUCUGAGCGAGAGCAGUUAAAGUAAACUUUGGAAUAAUUUGGCCUCUUUAUCGAGCAUAGUUUUUCUUUUGUGCUUUUUCUUUUCCAAUUUUCACGGAAAUUUUGUUUCGUGACCAAGGUGAUCAACGGUCAAUCAGUUUCCUUUGUACAGUCAAGUCAAUUUGGCAUCGUGUAUUAAGCAAAAUUCUUUCUUGAUGCCACGUGGCGUUCAAUUUAAAGGAGAAAAUAGAGAAAAAUAGAGGGAUAAACUCAUUUGAAGCUUAAUUGUUUCAACAAAAUAAAUAUUAUCGAAAGCAAAAAAUGGAAGCCCAGAAGCCACGCCCCUACUAAGAAAAAGAACAACCAAACACCCAUCAAGAUAAAACGAAAGAUUACGAACCAUUUGAUGCCUUUAAGAAAGUUGCUCGGCUUUAAUCAAUUCUGAACUGUUUGUCAAAAUGAUAGGCUCUUUAAGGAGGAACAUCGAGCUGAAUCGCAGCAACACGGGCCAUGAAUAACACGGAAUCUCAGAAGAAAUGCGGAAAAAAGAAAUUAAUUUGAUAAUAGGAUAAUCUAAGUAUAACAUCCAGAAGUUGAAUUUUUCUGAAUCAAUUUUAAUUUUAUGAUGGUUAGUUCCUAAUAUCAUAUAAUAUUGCAUCGAUUUCAAUUCAUGUGGUGUUAAAAGAUUAUAUAAAUCAUAGACAACUUGACGAUUGUGGAGCAUGAAUUCUUAGUCACCGGUCACGGACUAUUAACAGUUUUUGAAAUGAAUUAUACUUAUAAAUUUCGAUGAAAAUUUCUUUAAUUAAUUAUCAUAAUUAAAAUCCGCAAGCUUGAAUUUUUCUUAAUCAGUUUUAACUUAAAUCCUAAUAUCAUAUCAUAUUGCAUUGAUUUCUAUUCUUGUUAUGUUGAAGAUUAUAAGUCAUAGAAAACUUGAUGAUUGUGGAACAAGAAUUCUUAGAUACUGGUAGAGUACUAUUAACAGUUUUUGAAAUGAAUUAAAUUACUUUAAUUAAUUAUGAUAACUAAAAUCUUGGUUAUUUUAGUUUGAAAAUUGAGUUAUCUUAUAAUUCAAAUUUCAUUUUAGUGUAAAUUGGACAAAUUAAUUCUAGUUGGUUGAUAAUAUACUAAGCAUCGCACUUCCUUUAAUAUAAAUCACAUGUUUGUGAAGCACAUUGCGAUAAAAUCUGAACUAAGAAAUUGAAAAAUAUAUGUUUCGAUAUUACAUAAUUUACAUAUUUUUAUAUGUUUCAAGUGUUUCAUACUUAAUAAUAAACCAAAUUAUCUUGCCCUUUGUCGUCCUCUGUGAACUUAUUAGCUUAUGCCCAAAGCUUGUUUCAUUUUAUGAAGACCUUUCCAAUAAGAAACAAUUCGACCAAAAAAAAAAAAAAAAGAAACAACAAAAGAAUGUUCUAUAUCGUGCGCAAAUGCAUAAUACCUCUAGGAUCCUUCUGUUUGAGGCAGAGAGUAACCAUAAUCGAGGUUUAAUUCGACUUUCAUGGAUGUCGAACUUGAACAGAUCUUUAUAACCCUAAUUCGACCAAAAUUGUAAUCAGACUAAAGCAAAUCAUUUUUCGACUCCAACCGAAAUAAAUGAUGGGAUUUUUUUUCUUUAUAUGUGCUAUUUGUUACAAAUUUCAUGAACUUACGAGUUCCCACAAACAUUACUUGAUUUAGCGGUUUGUUUUGGUUGUCGAAGAGUUGAACCUAAUUGGACCAUGAAAUACAGUUUAGGUCCAUUUGGAAAUGUUUUUAUCGGGAAAGAAAUGCCAUUGAACCAAAUUAAACCAUAAAAAAAAGUUGAUGUUAAAAUUCGAGUUCAUCUUCAUUUGGGCAGCAAAGGAGUACCUCAUGUUAGCGCCUCUGAUCAAAUGCAACCGAAGGAGUUCCUUGCUUAAUCAUGAAUUUUCAGACAGCGCAAGUACUUGCUUCCCUUGGAAACAGAGGGUUGUGCUGAAACUAAAAUCAAAUUGGAAUGAUGUCCAUGCGGUUUCGCACAAAUACAUGAAGACUUCGCUUAGUCUUCCAAGAGUGCAGAUAAAGAAAAUUAUCUUGACCAAACACCCUUCAUAUGCUGAUAAUCAAAAAUACUAACAUUAACCUCAUUCCUUAAGGAGGUUCAUAUUUACAACUAUACUAAACUUGACAGAAGUGUAGAUUAGGUACAUGUUAAAACCUGAAAGUGUAGAUAAAAAUGAGUAGUGUAGUGCCCAAGGCAAAGUAUGCCUGCCAUUAGAUUAACAAGAAACCCAGAUUUUCAUAUGCUUUAAGAAGGACACCUAUUUGAAAGAGUGGCUGAAGAUAACUUCAGCAUUUCUGGAAGCUCUUCGAUAGCUGAGCAUAUUUUGGCUCACAACAAGUAGUUUCGAAAGAAUAGUGGCUCGAACAUGUUCUUGUCCAUGUCCCAUGUUCAAAUUAGCCUUGAUAAUCAUCUUCUCCAGUGCAAGUGCAUACCAAGAAGAAACUUAAUCAGGGCAAGCAGACGUUCCAACCCAAAAUUAUCAAUGGUGAUCUCAACUCUCUUGAGAUGUUUCGCCAAGCAUUGAAAUUUCCCCUUUCGUGAACACAAAAAAUCUUCUUCAUCAUAGUUAAAACUUUCUUUCGAUUCUUCGUCAAGACUAUACUGCACAUAGAUACCUCAUUUAAGAAACUUACUUCACAUCACAUGCGGAUCCAUAGAAAAUAGAAUUUGUUGCCUUACCAAAAUUUCAAAAAAACAAAAACAUUUCAUUUAUCCACGGUAGGUGCUAGUUAGUUUUACUUUAUUUUAAGUACUAAAGAAUUUGAACUUUUAAACUCAUAUACACAAUAAUACUAUCUUUCUUUCUAGGUGCUCAUCGCUAAUUUGUUAGUUCAAGGUCCAAACCCUACAUGGCAGCCAAAGAAUCUCCAGUAUAACACUGCAAUUACUUUUGGACAUGAACUGAAACGGUCUAAAUUGGCCUUGCAAAAAAGUGGAGUAGACUAACAGACUCAUGACCAAAUUUCAUUUGCUGGAACAAAUAAGAGUUUGACAUUUAUCAUUUUUACAUGCUUCUAAAGUUUUAACUCACUUUUUAAACAUUCAUGCAAAGAGGAAGCCAGCACAAGAAGCGAACUUAAAAUAAUAUAGCAAAGGAACAAACCAUUGAUAGGGGGAGGCCAGUCAGGCAUAUGACUAAUUUUUCCAGGCACUGUGAAAUUCGUAGCAUGUAUGCUAUCCCAAGAAGGUCCCACUGAAUAAUGUCUACAUGUAGAGUCAGACUCUGACAUAUUGACAAUGGCGCUGGCACUCCUUCCAUCUCCAAAAGGGAAAGUUUCUAAGCACAUUGAGCAAGCAACAUAGAAAAUUUUGAUUAUAAUAUUUCCUGUUCAACAUAAAUAAAGAAUGACAAAAAUUAUUGUCCAUCCAGAUUUUGACCCUGUCUUUUGGCUAGGAAAAGACCAAUAAGGAUACUACAAGUAGAAAUGAACCGGUGAAUCUCUUUAAGAAUCAAGAAUAUUAAUGUAUACUUCUCGUGUAAAAUUUGUGAUCUUUGAAGGAUCUAAAAAUUCUAAUAGUUGGUCCCACGAGACAUUGAACCUCGUUAUUGACUAAAGUUUGCAAGUGAAUCCAUCCAUUGUCAAUGUAAAAUAUUUUGAGAAUACUCUGUAAUAUAUAUUAUUGAACAACAGCCAUAUGUGACGAGAGUGCGAUCUUGUUCUGCCAACCUAAGAUGACUGGGUUCAUUACUCUGUCAUAUAUUCAAAUAAAUGAAUUUUCUCCAUAAACUGAAAGAAUGAAAUGAAAAGGUAACCAUUUUGAAUAAUCUCUUUAUGCAUUUUUCUUGUGAAAAUCAAGAGUUUGCUGUGCUACAUUGAUUAGCAUCCAUAAUAAUUAGCAAUAUCUAGUGGCAUCCAUUGUUCCCAAUUGAGUGAUCCCAAAUAUAUUAUUGGAAAUUAAACAGAGGGAAGAAGCUCCAAGGUUCACUAUGCGUUGUCAUCUUUAUAAGUUGAAACACGAAAUUAUUAAUCAUCCUAUCUGCCAGCAAUUAAUUAUGCAUGUUUUCACAAUAAUUCCCCAUGAUGAAAGACGAGAACCACAGAGAGCUGAGGUUACUCGACCAGCACAACAAAAACCACUAAAUAAGUGCUAAUCACAUACACGAUUCAACACGAGUACGUCUUAUAAAAUGGUAAAAAAUAUGGAGCUUGUACCUGAAAACACCAAGCCCCAAUGGUGAUUGUAGUAACUCCGCGCAGCUUCUGAAGGGUUUCCUUCAACAUGUGGCUGCACAUCAUCUCGUCACAAGGCAAAUCGGUAAGAACUCGAAUCGAAAAAUCUAACUUGGCUUCCACCAAAGAAGAUACAUCGCUAAGUCUUAACAUGGCAUGAGGUUGCCAAUCCCCUGAUAUUCGCAGCGACAGCAAAUGCGGGCCCCAAAUUGUCUGAAUGUUAGAGUCGCAUAAGCCAAUGAGUACCAACUCUUUCACACUUGUGGAAUUUAUCAUCAUGUUCUUUGUGCCCCAACAACCCCACAAUUCAAGGGACUCUAGAACAGGGCAUCCCCUGAAAAUUCCCUCGAGGAUAUCAUCGCUCAACCUUGAAAUUGCGAUCACCAAGAUCUUAAGACAAGGCCACCUAAUAGUCCUAUCCAACGAGAAACUGCACACCGAGACUUCAAGGCGCACCAACCAACUCCAGCAAUACAAGAACCGCGGCAGUAUAUAAGGCGUCGGCGGCCCAGUAGUCGGCACUAGCAGCAGGCUGAGCUCCUCCACUCGGUGCCCCUCUGCAAAGCGGAGCCAGAGGUCGAACUUGGGGCGGUGGGUCUUCUCGUACUCGAAGCCGAUGACGGAGAACUUCUUCACUGUGGGGGAGGUGUACUGUAUCAGGACGCUGUCGACGAGGGACGGGAAGUCCAAGGUACUGCGAAGCCGGGCUACAAUCUCUCCAUCGAAGACCAGGUCGGUGGCGGUGGUCCAAGUGGGCCGCCAGCGCUUGGAGAGGACGCUAGCCUUGACGACGUCUUGGAGGGGCAGAAACGAGAAGAUGCGGUGGAUCACAGCGUCCGGCAAGGCGCUGAUGAGAUCCCUAGGGCUCAAAGGAGGAGGUAGAGGUGGGUUUGUUUUGUCGGUGCGAUUCGGCCGGUUGCCAGAGGAUUUGCGGUGGAUGGAGGUCUCCGCCAUGCCUAUUUUCCCCGAGUUUCGAAGGCUCGAUCGCAGCGUUUUUUUCCUACUAUUAUAGCCUUCGUAAGUCCCGCUUUGCUUCUCCACGAAGUGCUGUCCUCUUUUCUUGUUUUGGUCGGUAGUGUCCCGUUCCUUUUCCUCUCUCUCUUUUUCUCUCUUUGCUCCCUGGUCCCAUUUUCCUUUCCUCUUCUUUACUUUUGACUCUGUCGAGAUUGUCUUCCUUUGCAUCGAAGCUCCGACCAUCGCCAUCGCUGUCGCCUUUCGAAGGGCCUAUGCUACACAUGCAUUGCUAGGAAAGUGUCUCCUCUCCAGUCAUCACCGCCGCUAUCUUCUCUCCUAGGGAUGUGCAUGGUUCGGGCGGGUGGUUUCAACCACCCGCCGCUAAGGAUCGGUUCCGAAAAAUUAGAAUCGAGAUCUACCCGUUUGUUACAUGGAUCCACCCGGGAACUGGACCGUCGGUCCGGUCCGGUUCCUAGGUAGAUCCAUGGAACCGAUCUUGACACAAAAUAAUUUUAGUUUUCAACGUAGAACGACUACAUGAUAUCAAAGCAAGCCAAAGAAAGAAAAACCAAAUUUAAGUAUGUGGAGAUACGGAUGGUGAGAGAAGUAAACGCAGCAAAAUGGUGAUAGGAUUAGGAGCCGAAGACGAAGGGAGUGAGAUGAGAUCUAGGGUUUCUUUUAGUAAUUUUUUUUUUAAUAUUAAAAAAGUUCCGAUCCAGUCCAGGUGGGCGGGCAGGCGGGCGGAUCCGUCCAUGAAACCAGGAACCAAUCGGUACCCACGGGUUCCCAUAAAUUGGAACCGAGAAUUGGACCGGUUCCCUCAAGAACCGUCGAUUCUGGGCUGUUCCGGUCCGGUUCCGGGUGGUUCGGGCGGUUCCCGAGUAUUUUGCACACUCCUACUUACACCUACAGUCUUGUCUUGAUGUGCCCUUUUCCAUUGCUCGUCUUUGCUUCACUUCUGUUUCCUUCCUCUCCUUGGGUGUUGCUCAAAUUGCCGGAGAGUUUUCAGGUAGAGCAAAGCCUAUGAGCCCCAGCAUUGCCGUCGGGCCUUCACGCAGGUACGGCACGGGAGAGUGCCCCGGCGAUCGGCAUAUUGGCAGGCCAGAGCUAAAGCGAUAAAUGGAAAUAGGGAGCAGGGAAGGACAUGCCUACGAGAGAGAAUGAUAAAGAAGAAAGAAAAUGGGUCCAAAGUUAAAAGAGUGAGAAGAGGAUAUACGAAAUGCCAUAGACCUGACGAAAAAAAGGAACUUAAAAAACAAAAAAAGGCGCGACUCAGAUUAAUAUGUCAACAGUGGAAAAAGUGCCGCCCUUUACUUUUUACUUUUUUUAUUUACACGAUAAUUUGAUCUCUUUUAACGAGCAUAGUUUUUCUUUUGGGAAAAAGUCACGAAAAACUUUGAACUUUGCCCAAAGUGACAUAUUUAUCGCAAACUUUUUUUUUUGUGAUAGUGAAAAACUCCAAAUUUUUUCAAAUUGUGACACAUUUACCCAAUCAAUGGCAUUUUUGUCUUUUUAUUCUAUUUUUUCCUUUUUAUUCUAUUUUUUUUCUUUUUUUCUUCUUCUUCCCUCCGCCUGUCAUGGCGAAGCUGACGGAGGUAAGCCGGCGAUCGGCAAGGGCACCCCUCCCCAGAUUUGGCGAGGGUUGUCCUCGCUAGACGCAGGCGAGGGCCUCUGUCGCCGACGUCGGGCGAGGGCAAGGACACCCUCGCCCGAUGCAAGUGAGGGCGACCCUCGCCAGCGACGGGCGAGGAUGACCCUCGCUAGAUCUGGUGAGGGCAAGGACACCCUCGCUCGACGCAGGCGAGGUCGGCCCUCGCCGACGACGGGCGAGGACGGCAGGGACACCCUCGCUCGACAUAGGCAAGGGCAGCCCUCGCCCGACACUAGCGAGGGACCCUCGCCCGAUGCUGGCGAGGGCAGCUCUCGCCGGACACCGGCUGUCCUUCGUCGGUUGGGGAAGAGAGAAGAAAAAAAAAAGGAAAAAAUUUUUAAAAAUGAAAAGACCAAAAUGCCCUAUAAUUUUGGGGUAAAUGUGUCACAUAACAAAAGUUUAGGGUUUUUCACGUCACAAAAAAAAAAAUUGUCACUUUGGACAAAGUUCAGGAUUUUUCGUGGCUUUUUCCCCUUUACUUUUCCAAUUUCAAUAGAAAUUUUGUUUCGUGACCAAGUGAGUGAUCAACGGUCAAUCAGUUUCCUUUGUACGGUCAAGUCAAUUUGGCUUCGUGUAUUAAGCAAAAUUCUUUCAUGAUGCUAUGUGGCGUUCAAUUUAAAGGAGAAAAUAGAGAAAAAUAGAGCGAUAAGCUCAUUUGAAGCUUAAUUGGUCCAGCAAAAUAAAUAUUAUCGAAAGUAAAAAAUGGAAGCCCAGAAGCCACGCCUCUACUAAGAAAAAGAACAACCAAACACCCAUCAAGGUAAAACGAAAGAUUACGCACCAUUUGAUGCCUUUAAGAAAGUUGCUCGGCUUUGAUCAAUUCUGAACUCUUUGUCAAAAUGAUAGGCUCUUUAAGGAGGGACAUCGAGCUGAAUUGCAGGCCAUGAAUAACACGGAAUCUCAGAAGAAAUACGGAAAAAAAAAAUUAAUUUGAUAACAGGAUAAUCUAAGUAUAACAUCCAGAAGUUGAAUUUUUCUGAAUCAGUUUUAAUUUUAUGAUGGUUAGAUCCUAAUAUCAUAUAAUAUCGCAUCGAUUUGAAUUUAUAUGGUGUUAAAAAAUUAUAAAUCAUAGACAACUUGACGAUUGUGGAGGAAGAAUUCUUAGUCACCCGUCAUGGACUAUUAACAGUUUUUGAAAUGAAUUAUACUUAUAAAUUUCGAUGAAAAUUUCUUUAAUUAAUUAUCAUAAUUAACAUCCGCAAGCUUGAAUUUUUCUUAAUCAGUUUUAACUUAAAUCCUAAUAUCAUAUCAUAUUGCAUUGAUUUCUAUUCUUGUUAUGUUGAAGAUUAUAAGUCAUAGAAAACUUGAUGAUUGUGGAACAAGAAUUCUUAGAUACUGGUCGAGUACUAUUAACAGUUUUUGAAAUGAAUUAAAUUACUUUAAUUAAUUAUGAUAACUAAAAUCUUGGUUAUUUUAGUUUGAAAAUUGAGUUAUCUUAUAAUUCAAAUUUCAUUUUAGUUUAAAUUGGACAAAUUAAUUCUAGUUGGUUGAUAAUAUACUAAGCAUCGCACUUCCUUUAAUAUAAAUCACAUGUUUGUGAAGCACAUUGCGAUAAAAUCUGAACUAAGAAAUUGAAAAAUAUAUGUUUCGAUAUUACAUAAUUUACAUAUUUUUAUAUGUUUCAAGUGUUUCAUACUUAAUAAUAAACCAAAUUAUCUUGCCCUUUGUCGUCCUCUCUAAACUUAUUAGCUUAUGCCCAAAGCUUGUUUCAUUUGAUGAAAGACCUUUCCAAUAAGAAACAACUCGACCAAAAAAAAAAGAAACAACAAAAGAAUGUUCUAUAUUGUGUGCAAAUGCAUAAUACCUUUAGGAUCCUUCUGUUUGAGGCAGAGAGUAACCAUAAUCGAGGUUUAAUUCGACUUUGAUGGAUGUCGAACUUGAACAGAUCUUCAUAACCCUAAUUCGACCCAAAUUGUAAUCAAACUAAAGCAAAUCAUUUUUCGACGUCAACCGAAACAAAUGAUGUUAUAUAUAUAUUUGUUACAGAUUUCAUGAACUUACGAGUUCCCACAAACAUUACUUGAUUUCGCGGUUUGUUUUGGUUGUCGAAAAGUUGAACCUAAUUGGACCGUGAAAUACAGUUUAGGUCCAUUUGGAAAUGUUUUUUUGUCGGGAAAGAAAUGCCAUUGAACCAAAUUAAACCAUAAAAAAAGUUGAUGUUAAAAUUCGAGUUCAUCUUCAUUUGUGCAGCAAAAGAGUACUUCAUGUUAGCUCCUCUGAAAUCAAAUGUAACCGAAGGAGUUCCUUGCUUAAUCAUGAAUUUUCAGACAGUUUGCUUCCCUUGGAAACAGAGGGUUGUGCUGAAACUAAAAUCAAAUUGUAAUGAUGUCCAUGCAGUUUCGCACAAAUACAUGAAGACUUCGCUUAGUCUUCCAAGAGUGCAGAUAAAGAAAAUUAUCUUGACCAAACACCCUUCAUGUGCUGAUAAUCAAAAACACUACCAUUAACCUCAUUCCUUAAGGAGGUUCAUACUUACAACUACACUAAACUUAACAGAAGUGUCGAUUAGGUACAUGUUAAAACCUGACAAUGUAGAUAAGAACGAGUAGUGUAGUGCCAAGGCAAAAUACGCCUGCCAUUAGAUUAACAAGAAACCCAGAUUUUCAUAUGCUUUAAGAAGGACAUCUAUUUGAAAGAGUGGCUGAAGAUAACUUCAGCAUUUCUGGAAGCUCUUCGAUAGCUGAGCAUAUUUUGGCUCACAACAAGUAGUUUCGAAAGAAUAGUGGCUCGAACAUGUUCUUGUCCAUGUCCCAUGUUCAAAUUAGCCUUGAUAAUCAUCUUCUCCAGCGCAAGUGCAUCACCAAGAAGAAACUUGAUCAGGGCAAGCAGACGUUCCAACCCAAAAUUAUCAAUGGUGAUCUCAACUCUCUUGAGAUGUUUCGCCAAACAUUGAAAGUUCUCCUUCCGUGAACACAAAAAAUCUUCUUCAUCACAGUUAAAACUUUCUUUCGAUUCUUCGUCAAGACUAUACUGCACAUAGAUACCUCAUUUAAGAAACUUACUUCACAUCACAUGCGGAUCCAUAGAAAAUAGAAUUUGUUGCCUUACCAAAAUUUCAAAAAACAAAAACAUUUCAUUUGUCCACGGUAGGUGCUAGUUAGUUUUACUUUAUUUUAAGUACUAAAGAAUUUGAACUUUUAAACUCAUAUACACAAUAAAACUAUCUUUCUUUCUAGGUGCUUAUCGCUAAUUUGUUAGUUCAAGGUCCAAACCCUACAUGGCAGCAAAAGAAUCUCCAGUAUAACACUGCAAUUACUUUUGGACAUGAACUGAAACGGUCUAAAUUGGCCUUGCAAAAAAGUGGAGUAGACUAACAGACUCAUGACCAAAUUUCAUUUGCUGGAACAAAUAAGAGUUUGACAUUUAUCAUUUUUACAUGCUUCUAAAGUUUUAACUCACUUUUUAAACAUUCAUGCAAAGAGGAAGCCAGCACAAGAAGCGAACUUAAAAUAAUAUAGCAAAGGAACAAACCAUUGAUAGGGGGAGGCCAGUCAGGCAUAUGACUAAUUUUUCCAGGCACUGUGAAAUUCGUAGCAUGUAUGCUAUCCCAAAAAGGUCCCACUGAAUAAUGUCUACAUGUAGAGUCAGACUCUGACAUAUUGACAAUGGCGCUGGCACUCCUUCCAUCUCCAAAAGGGAAAGUUUCUAAGCACAUUGAGCAAGCAACAUAGAAAAUUUUGAUUAUAAUAUUUCCUGUUCAACAUGAAUAAAGAAUGACAAAAAUUGUAGUCCAUCCGGAUUUUGACCCUGUCUUCCGGUUAGGAAAAGACCAAUAAGGAUACUACAAGUAGAAAUGAACCGGUGAAUCUCUUUAAGAAUCAAGAAUAUUAAUGUAUACUUCUCGUGUAAAAUUUGUGAUCUUUGAAGGAUCUAAAAAUUCUAAUAGUUGGUCUCAGGAGACACUGAACCUCGUUAUUGACUAAAGUUUGCAAGUGAAUCCGGCCAUUGUCAAUGUAAAAUAUUCUGAGAAUACUAUGUAAUAUAUAUUAUUGAACAACAGCCAUAUGUGACGAGAGUGCGAUCUUGUUCUACCAACCUAAGAUGACUGGGUUCAUUACUCUAUCAUAUAUUCAAAUAAAUGAAUUUUCUCCAUAAACUGAAAGAAUGAAAUGAAAAGGUAACCAUUUCAAAUAAUCUCUUUACUUAUUUUUCUUGUGAAAAUCAAGAGUUUGCAAUGCUACAUUGAUUAGCAUCCAUAAUAAUUAGCAAUAUCUAGUGGCAUUCAUUGUUCCCAAUUGAGUGAUCCCAAAUAUAUUAUUGGAAAUUAAACAGAGGGAAGAAGCUCCAAGGUUCACUAUGCGUUGUCAUCUUUAUAAGUUGAAACGCGAAAUUAUUAAUCAUCCUAUCUGCCAGCAAUUAAUUAUGCAUGUUUUCACAAUAAUUCCCCAUGAUGAAAGACGAGAACCACAGAGAGCUGAGGUUACUCGAUCGGCACAACAAAAACCACUAAAUAAGUGCUAAUCACAUACACGAUUCAACACGAGUACGUCUUAUAAAAUGGUAAAAAAUAUGGAGCUUGUACCUGAAAACACCAAGCCCCAAUGGUGAUUGUAGUAACUCCGCACAGCUUCUGAAAGGUUUCCUUCAACAUGUGGCUGCACAUCAUCUCGUCACUAGGCAAAUCGGUAAGAACUCGAAUCGAAAAAUCUAACUUGGCUUCCACCAAAGAAGAUACAUCGCCAAGUCUUAGCAUGGCAUGAGGUUGCCAAUCCCCUGAUAUUCGCAGCGACAGCAAAUGCGGGGCCCAAAUUUUCUGAAUGUUAGAGUCGCAUAAGUUACAAAGUACCAACUCUUUCACACUUGUCGAAUCUAUCAUAAUGUUCUUCACGCCCCAACAACCCCACAAUUCAAGGGACUCUAGAACAGGGCAUCCCCUGAAAAUUCCCUCGAGGAUAUCAUCGCUCAACCUUGAAAUUGCGAUCACCAAGAUCUUAAGACAAGGCCACCUAAUAGUCCUACCCAACGAGAAACAGCACACCCAGACUUCAAGGCGCACCAACCAACUCCAGCAAUACAAGAACCGCGGCAGUAUAUAAAGCGUCGGCGGCUUAGUAGUCGGCACUAGCAGCAGGCUGAGGUCCUCCGCUCGGCGCCCCUCUGCGAAGCGUAGCCAGAGGUCGAACUUGGGGCGGUAGGCCUUCUCGUACUUGAAGCCGAUGACGUGGAACCUCUUCACCGUGGGGGAGAUGCACUGUAUCAGGACGCUGUCGAUGAGGGACGAGAAGUCCAGGGUACUGCGAAGCCGGGCUACAAUCUCUCCAUUGAAGACCAGGUCCGUGGCGGUAGUCCAAGUGGGCCGCCAGCGCUUGGAGAGGACGCUGGUCCUGACGACGUCUUGGAGGGGCAGAAACGAGAAGAUGCGG